rnacentral:rRNA from 1 species
CUACGGGUUGCUGCAGUCGAGAAGCUUCGGCAAUGGACGAAAGUCUGACCGAGCGACGCCGCGUGAGCGAUGAAGGCCCUAGUGGUCGUAAAGCUCUGUCAGGAGGGAAUAAAUACCUGUGGCUAAUACCCGCAGGGGCUGAAGGUACCUCCAGAGGAAGCACCGGCUAACUACGUGCGCAGCAGCCGCGGUAAUACGUAGGGGUGCAAACGUUGUUCGGAUUCACUGGGUAUAAAGGGUUCGUAGGCGGACCUAUAAGUCAGAGGUGAAAGCCAACGGCUCAACCGUUGAACUGCCUCUGAUACUGUAGGUCUUGAGUCCGUUAGGGGAUGGUGGAAUUCCUGGUGUAGCGGUGACAUGCGUAAAUAUCAGGAGGAACACCGGUGGCGAAGGCGACCAUCUGGGACGGAACUGACGCUGAGGAACGAAAGCUAGGGUAUCAAACGGGAUUAGAUACCCUAGUAGUC